AACAUUGGACAAUGGGCGAAAGCCCGAUCCAGCCAUGCAGCGUGUGUGCAGAAGGGCUGCGGGUUGUAAAUCACUUUAUGUUGGGAGGAAGGGAAGUAAGUGAAUACCUGGCUGUUUUCACGUUACCGACAGUAUAAGCACCGGCGCACUUCCUGCCAUGAGCCGCGCUAAUACGAAGGGUGCAAGCGUUAAUCGGAAUUACUGGGCGUAAAGGGCGUGUAGGUGGUUAGUUAAGUUGGAAGUGAAAGCCCCGGGCUCAACCUGGGAACUGCUUUCAAAACUGGCAAGCUAGAGUAUGGCAGAGGGUGGUGGAAUUUCCUGUGUAGCGGUGAAAUGCGUAGAUAUAGGGAGGAACACCAGUGGCGAAGGCGACCACCUGGGCUAAUACUGACACUGAGGUGCGAAAGCGUGGGGAGCAAACA
rnacentral:rRNA from 1 species